UAAGGAAUAUUGGUCAAUGGACGCAAGUCUGAACCAGCCAUGCCGCGUGAAGGAUGAAGGUCCUCUGGAUUGUAAACUUCUUUUAUCUGGGACGAAAACGGGAUUUUUAUCUCAAUUGACGGUACCAGAGGAAUAAGCACCGGCUAACUCCGUGCCAGCAGCCGCGGUAAUACGGAGGAUCCGAGCGUUAUCCGGAUUUACUGGGUUUAAAGGGUGCGUAGGCGGCCCUGCAAGUCAGCGGUGAAAUGUGGCGGCUCAACCGUUUCGCUGCCGCUGAUACUGUAGGGCUUGGAUGCGGUCGAGGCGGGUGGAAUUCGUGGUGUAGCGGUGAAAUGCAUAGAUAUCACGAGGAACGCCGAUAGCGAAGGCAGCUCGCCGGGCCGCGAUCGACGCUGAGGCACGAAAGCGUGGGGAUCAAACA
rnacentral:rRNA from 1 species